AACGUAGCCAAGUGGUUAAGGCGCUGGAUUGUGGCUCCAGUAUUCGCGGGUUCAACUCCCGUCGUUC
rnacentral:tRNA from 1 species